GUCUCCCAUAGCUCAGUGGUCAGAGCAUCCAACCGGUACCAGGCAGGUCAUGGGUUCCACUCCCGUUGUGGACU